rnacentral:rRNA from 1 species
GACGAACGCUGGCGGCGUGCCUAAUACAUGCAAGUCGAGCGGACAGAUGGGAGCUUGCUCCCUGAUGUUAGCGGCGGACGGGUGAGUAACACGUGGGUAACCUGCCUGUAAGACUGGGAUAACUCCGGGAAACCGGGGCUAAUACCGGAUGGUUGUUUGAACCGCAUGGUUCAAACAUAAAAGGUGGCUUCGGCUACCACUUACAGAUGGACCCGCGGCGCAUUAGCUAGUUGGUGAGGUAACGGCUCACCAAGGCGACGAUGCGUAGCCGACCUGAGAGGGUGAUCGGCCACACUGGGACUGAGACACGGCCCAGACUCCUACGGGAGGCAGCAGUAGGGAAUCUUCCGCAAUGGACGAAAGUCUGACGGAGCAACGCCGCGUGAGUGAUGAAGGUUUUCGGAUCGUAAAGCUCUGUUGUUAGGGAAGAACAAGUGCCGUUCGAAUAGGGCGGUACCUUGACGGUACCUAACCAGAAAGCCACGGCUAACUACGUG